rnacentral:rRNA from 1 species
AUGUUGGCUUAGAAGCAGCCAUCAUUUAAAGAAAGCGUAAUAGCUCACUGGUCGAGUCGGCCUGCGCGGAAGAUGUAACGGGGCUAAACCAUGCACCGAAGCUGCGGCAGCGACGCUUAUGCGUUGUUGGGUAGGGGAGCGUUCUGUAAGCCUGCGAAGGUGUGCUGUGAGGCAUGCUGGAGGUAUCAGAAGUGCGAAUGCUGACAUAAGUAACGAUAAAGCGGGUGAAAAGCCCGCUCGCCGGAAGACCAAGGGUUCCUGUCCAACGUUAAUCGGGGCAGGGUGAGUCGACCCCUAAGGCGAGGCCGAAAGGCGUAGUCGAUGGGAAACAGGUUAAUAUUCCUGUACUUGGUGUUACUGCGAAGGGGGGACGGAGAAGGCUAUGUUGGCCGGGCGACGGUUGUCCCGGUUUAAGCGUGUAGGCUGGUUUUCCAGGCAAAUCCGGAAAAUCAAGGCUGAGGCGUGAUGACGAGGCACUACGGUGCUGAAGCAACAAAUGCCAUGCUUCCAGGAAAAGCCUCUAAGCAUCAGGUAACAUCAAAUCGUACCCCAAACCGACACAGGUGGUCAGGUAGAGAAUACCAAGGCGCUUGAGAGAACUCGGGUGAAGGAACUAGGCAAAAUGGUGCCGUAACUUCGGGAGAAGGCACGCUGAUAUGUAGGUGAAGCGACUUGCUCGUGGAGCUGAAAUCAGUCGAAGAUACCAGCUGGCUGCAACUGUUUAUUAAAAACACAGCACUGUGCAAACACGAAAGUGGACGUAUACGGUGUGACGCCUGCCCGGUGCCGGAAGGUUAAUUGAUGGGGUCAGCGCAAGCGAAGCUCUUGAUCGAAGCCCCGGUAAACGGCGGCCGUAACUAUAACGGUCCUAAGGUAGCGAAAUUCCUUGUCGGGUAAGUUCCGACCUGCACGAAUGGCGUAAUGAUGGCCAGGCUGUCUCCACCCGAGACUCAGUGAAAUUGAACUCGCUGUGAAGAUGCAGUGUACCCGCGGCAAGACGGAAAGACCCCGUGAACCUUUACUAUAGCUUGACACUGAACAUUGAGCCUUGAUGUGUAGGAUAGGUGGGAGGCUUUGAAGUGUGGACGCCAGUCUGCAUGGAGCCGACCUUGAAAUACCACCCUUUAAUGUUUGAUGUUCUAACGUUGACCCGUAAUCCGGGUUGCGGACAGUGUCUGGUGGGUAGUUUGACUGGGGCGGUCUCCUCCUAAAGAGUAACGGAGGAGCACGAAGGUUGGCUAAUCCUGGUCGGACAUCAGGAGGUUAGUGCAAUGGCAUAAGCCAGCUUGACUGCGAGCGUGACGGCGCGAGCAGGUGCGAAAGCAGGUCAUAGUGAUCCGGUGGUUCUGAAUGGAAGGGCCAUCGCUCAACGGAUAAAAGGUACUCCGGGGAUAACAGGCUGAUACCGCCCAAGAGUUCAUAUCGACGGCGGUGUUUGGCACCUCGAUGUCGGCUCAUCACAUCCUGGGGCUGAAGUAGGUCCCAAGGGUAUGGCUGUUCGCCAUUUAAAGUGGUACGCGAGCUGGGUUUAGAACGUCGUGAGACAGUUCGGUCCCUAUCUGCCGUGGGCGCUGGAGAACUGAGGGGGGCUGCUCCUAGUACGAGAGGACCGGAGUGGACGCAUCACUGGUGUUCGGGUUGUCAUGCCAAUGGCACUGCCCGGUAGCUAAAUGUGGAAGAGAUAAGUGCUGAAAGCAUCUAAGCACGAAACUUGCCCCGAGAUGAGUUCUCCCUGACUCCUUGAGAGUCCUGAAGGAACGUUGAAGACGACGACGUUGAUAGGCCGGGUGUGUAAGCGCAGCGAUGCGUUGAGCUAACCGGUACUAAUGAACCGUGAGGCUUAACCUU